rnacentral:rRNA from 1 species
AGUGAACGCUGGCGGUAGGCCUAACACAUGCAAGUCGAACGGCAGCACAGUAAUAGCUUGCUCUUACGGGUGGCGAGUGGCGGACGGUUGAGGAAUACAUCGGAAUCUACUUUUUCGUGGGGGAUAACGUAGGGAAACUUACGCUAAUACCGCAUACGACCUACGGGUGAAAGCAGGGGAUCUUCGGACCUUGCGCGAUUGAAUGCGCCGAUGUCGGAUUAGCUAGUUGGCGGGGUAAAGGCCCACCAAGGCGACGAUCCGUAGCUGGUCUGAGAGGAUGAUCAGCCACACUGGAACUGAGACACGGUCCAGACUCCUACGGGAGGCAGCAGUGGGGAAUAUUGGACAAUGGGCGCAAGCCUGAUCCAGCCAUACCGCGUGGGUGAAGAAGGCCUUCGGGUUGUAAAGCCCUUUUGUUGGGAAAGAAAAGCAGCAGGUUAAUACCCCGCUGUUCUGACGGUACCCAAAGAAUAAGCACCGGCUAACUUCGUG